rnacentral:snRNA from 1 species
GUGUUCGCUUCGGCAGCACAUACACUAAAAUUGGAACGACACAGAGAAGAUUAGCAUGGCCCCUGCGCAAGGAUGACGGGCAAAUUCGUGAAGCGUUAAAAAUAAAA